rnacentral:rRNA from 1 species
CACGGAGUUAGCCGAUGCUUUUUCUUCGGAUACACGCAGUCCGGGACACGUCCCGGGUUUUGUUCUCCGACAAAAGGGGUUUACAACCCAUAGGGCCGUCUUCCCUCACGCGGCUUGGCUGGUUCAGGAUCUCUCCCAUUGACCAAUAUUCCUCACUGCUGCCUCCCGUAGGAGUCUGGUCCGUGUCUCAGUACCAGUGUGGGGGACCUUCCUCUCAGAACCCCUACGCAUCGUCGCCACGGUGGGCCGUUACCCCGCCGUCAAGCUAAUGCGCCGCAUGCCCAUCCUCUUCCGAUGAAUCUUUCCUCGAUCUCGGAUGCCCGAAACCGAUAUACGCGGGAUUAGCCUCCCUUUCGGAAGGUUGUCCCCCUGAAGAGGGCAGGUUGCAUACGUGUUACUCACCCGUGCGCCGGUCGCCGGCAAGGAAAGCAAGCUUCCCUCCCGAUGCCCCUCGACUUGCAUGUGUUAAGCCUGCCGCUAGCGUUCAUCCUGAGCCAGGAUCAAACUCU